rnacentral:lncRNA from 1 species
UGGCAUAUAGAAGUUCCCAUGCUAGGAACUGAAUCAGAGCUACAGCUGCCAGACUACACCACAGCCAUAGCAACGUGGGAUCAGAGACAUAUCUGUGACCUACACCACAGCUCAUAGCAAUGUCAUAUCCUUAACCCACUGAGUGAGGCCAGGAAUCGAACCCAUCAGCAGGUGCAACCUCCUUUCCACAGAUGAGAAUAUGACUUGUCCAUAGUGACACCGCUGGAAAAGAAUUCAAACUAAGGUCCAUUCUUUACUGCAUAUAUAUAGCUCUCCUGCCAAGAUAUUGCUUAAGAUCUAGAACUAAGAAAUUACGUCUUAUUCUAAGUCCUUUUUACUUAAGUUGGCUUUCACAAUCCCUCACAUCCUAAAAUUUUAUGACUAUGUAUACUUAAGUAUAAACCUAAUCCUAUAGACAAAAAUACUUAAUUUUUUCAUAAUUUUUAUGAACUUCCAUAUGCUGCAGGUGUAGCCAUAGAAAAGGAAAAAGGAAAAAAAGGGAGAUGUGGAACACAUAUACAACGGAAUAUAACUCAGCCAUAAAAAAGAGCAAAAUAAUGCCAUCUGCAGGAACAUGGAUGCAACCAGAAUUUCUCAUACUAAGUGAAGUAGGUCAGAAAGAGAAAGAUAAACACCAUAUGAUAUCACUUAUAUGUGGAAUCUAAAAUACGGCACAAAAUGAACCUAUACAAAACAGAAACAGACUCAGACAUGGAGAACAGAUUUGUGGUUACCAAGGGGGAGGGAGUGGGAUGGACUGAGAGUUUGGGGUUAGUAGAUGCAAACUAUUACAUUUAGAAUGGAUAGAUAAUGAGGUCCUACUAUACAGCACAGGGACCUGUGUGCAAUCUUGUAGGAUAGACCAUGAUGGGGAAUGAUAUGAGAAAAACAAUGUGUGUGUGUGUGUAUAAAUGACUGGGUCACUUUGCUGUACAGCAGAAGUUGGCACAACAUUGUGAGUCAACUGUACUUUAAAUUUUUUUUUAUUUAAAAAAAGAAUGUUGUUGAAACAAAGCAUAAAGCUGAGUGCUCUAGAGACAAAAGGGAAAGCAAAACACUGAUCUAGCCUAAGACAGUUUAUGAUGAAGGGAAGAAAACUUAUACAGAAUGAAAAUUAUAUGAUAGAAGGUACGAAAAAAUGCUCUAAAACCCAAGCACAUAUAUAGCAAAACACACAAAUGCACACAGACAAGCAUAUACCAGAAAAUAAUAAGCUAUUCUAAAUGAUUGAAUAAAAAUAGUGGGAAUUCAAGCUUAUUUGGCCUUUUCUUUUACAAUUCAUAGGCCCACAGAUGGAAAGUCUGAAUAAGAAGUGACCAAGUUAGCCUUAAUUGCAUUUCUUGUUAACUUGACCAGUUUGAUGACUAAUCCAUCUCUAAACUAGAUGGUUUUAUAGGUACACAUUUAGGUUAUUCUACGCCACGUUAAAAAUGCUAUUAAGUUGAUUAAGACUAAACUCAUUUUCAGGAGCCAUUGCAAACAAUUUUCCAUGCUUGAUGUGUACUUGCAAAGGGAAUCUGUGGCAGGUAUUAAUUACACUGCAAGAAAAGCUCAAAAGAAAGUUAGGUGAAUACCAGCAAUGCUGCAAGUUGUAAAGUAAACACUGUACUAGAGUCUUAUAACUAGUGGCAAGUCAAGGAAAAAUGGCCUCAUGAUCUUCUUUAGCUAAUCAGGUCCUCUUUAGUAUAUAAUGGGAUCACGUGUGAAAUUAGAGGUGAAAGGUUGGAGACAAUAUUUUAAAGAGUCUCCAAAAAAAAAAAAAAAAGCAACUGUUAAAGGUUUUCAAGAUUUGGCUUCAUUAGGUUGAACAAAAGGAAAGUGACUCACUUUUGCCUAAAUGAGCCCAGCUGAAGGAGAAUAUUUAACAAUUUUCACAUAUGUGGAGACAAGUUGAAUGCUUAAUCAUGAGUCAUCCACAGGAAAGAGCAAGGCAUACAUUCCUCCUGACUCUGCCACUCACUCUGCAACCUGGCUCCUACUCCAUCUGGCAAAGGCAAAUUCUAGCCCGCCCUUUCCGUAAGCCCUGUGUAGUUCUUCUCAGUCUCCAUCAUUCCUUCCAUCCUUCUUCCUUAACCCAUUUGUAGAGGAUUUUUGUUCCUUCCUUUCCUAUUCUACAAGUCCUUCGGCUGCUUUUAGCUUUUGUCUGGGUUUCAACAAUCAGAGCUAUGCUGUGACAUUUAAAUCUGAAUGGAUAGCUCCUUAGCUCUUGAAUUCUCUGCCUGAAUUUUUGAUUCUCUACAUAAAAAUUCCAUAAUCUGAAGUGAAUUCAGAUUCAAUGGGCCAGAAACGGGAUCCAUUCUCACAGCUUCCUACCCUCUGAUCCCCCUGGGUUUCCCACAGCAGCUAUCACCCACGCUGGAAACAUCAAGAUUUGUCAACACUUUGAGGAUAAAACACUCAUAUGAGUCAUCUUCUGCCACCACUCCAAAAUCCCAGCCUUCCUAUUUAUCCAAUUUAGGGCCUCUUACCUACUCUAUCACAAGAGAUUUUUAUUUUGUUUUCUUAUCUCUAGUGUUUCAUAUGUCCAGUCUACCCUUUACACUCCCAUCACGUGUAUACCUGAAAAUAAAGGUAUGUUGUUCAUUUCCCAGAUGGUAAACCUCCCAAGGAUCCCAGGCAUCUAGAGUUCUCAGCUUUCUUUUUUUUUAAUUUUAUUUAAAAAAAAAAAUUUUUUUUUUGGCUGCGCCUAUGGAAUGCAUAAGUUCUCAGGCCAGGGAUCCAACCUGUACCACACCAGUGGCCCAAACCAUAGCAGUGAUGAUGCUAGAUCCUUAACCCACAAGGCCACCAGGGAACUCCUAUACCUCUAAGCUUUUAAAAGUUAGAAUUGAGAUUCUCAAUAUCCUAGUCUUGAAUUCCUAUGUUUUUGCCAUCUUAUCUGCGGCAAGCAAACAGAACUUAAUUUAAUUUUCACGUGACUCUAACAUUUUUUACUUUGUCUAAUAUUUGCUCAAAUCGUUCUGUCAGGCUGAAAUGCCAUUUCCUCAUCUUUACCUCUUGAAAUCGUAUUUAGAAUAAAAUUUUUUCAUAAACAAAGCUGAAAAAUGUUUUCUGGCCCAUUCUGGAAUCAAGGACAACAUUUAGACAAAAUUCACAAUGAAAUAUCCAAAACAGAAAAUCUAAACUAAGACCAACCUAACAAAGGAUUAAUGCUUUAAUUGUAGUAAUUCGGUGGCAAAUAAAGAUGAAAAGCAUCACAAAUAGGUUUCAGCACAAGUCUUAGAAGGGCCUUUGAAAUUGAGAGAUGAGCGAGACAAGACGUUAAACUGCUGUGGAUCAUUUUUCUGACACUACGUACUGUGUGUUAAAAUCUCUUCCUAUUGAUUGACUGUGUUACUACGGCCUUAGAAAAUUACAAAAAUUUAAACAAAAUAAUUCCCUUUUUUUCUACCACUCUAAAAUGAUCUCACAAGGAAAUCUAUUCAUGGAUACAUCAUCCAUUUGUUCAUUUAUUUGACAUGAAUCAAAUAGCAUUCCUGUUUGAGAUCAAAUUGUGGAUAAAAAUGAUGGGCUGGUAAAAACCAGAAUCUGAUAAAUGCCGUAAAAAUUGUGUCAUUGACGUUUAAAAGAGAAAGAUCAGUUAUGUAAGCUAAAGUAGUCAGAUAAGCACCAGGGAAAAGGGAACUUUUGAAAUCAAUUCUGAAGAAUGUAUGGUACUUCAAACAAAUAACAAGUUGACAAAUAAAAAGACUGAAAAAAACUCCCCAAAUGAAGUGGAGAAUGUUGGGAUUGUUUGAACAAUGCUUAAAUUCCAACAUAGUAGAGUGGAAAGCAACAUGAAGGAGUAACAGUAAAUACCUGAGAUGAGGAUCUUGGUCCAGCGAUCAUGGAAGGCCUUGAAUGUCAGAUUAAGCAUAGCUUGGACCCCUUUACCCCAUCAAUGGGGUUUGUGCUUUAGGAGAUGAGUCUGGGAGCAUUUUAGAGGUUAGAGUUUUGGAAUAUAGGGAAUCAUUGAAGGAAAGAUAAAAUGAGGGAUGGCCAAAUAAAGGAAAGUACAUAAGCGAUAUACGACAUAUUCAGUUUUCAGAUCUUGGCAAAUACUUGACUACAUUGAUAAGGUAGAAAGUGAGAGGCCAGAAAAACUGUGAUGUUUCUAACAUUGGUCAAAAGGAGACUGGGGUACCACCAGCAGAAGUCAGAAAAGGAGAGAGAGGGCCAAGUUUAUGGAAAGAAACAUUUUUCCUUGAAAUGCUUUAUGGUGGUGCAAAAUGAGCUACUCGGCUUAAACGGUCCUCCUAGUGGCCCCAAACAUUAAACCUGGUUUCUUCCUACCACUCACUACAAGAGCUUGGAUACUCGCACUGGCCCUCCCUCUUGCCUGCUACAGCAUUUUUGCAGCAUGACACCUCAUUCUUCCUAUUCUAGAACUGUUCACUCUGAGUCUGGAAAACUUAAAUCAAACUAGAUGUUUCUAAAGGAGAGGGUAAAACCACAUCAUUGACACAGGGAAUGAAUUCUUUGGGGGUCCUGAAAAGAAGCUUUACCAUUUGACCCAACCCCACAUUAUUCCAAGAGUUACUGAGUCAGGAGAUGAGAGGGAACACCCAUGAGUUCACCUGGAUCAACCAAGUCUGGUAGCUGAAAAAAAGAGGUUUUUAAACAUAUAUCAAAAGCUCUUAAAUGUUUCUAAUUGUGAUCUUCUUGCCAAUAAAUUGGAUCAACUAUUCUGCAUUAUCCAUGGUUUUCUUUCUUAAACUAGUUUAUACAGUUCUGCAAAAAAAAAAAAAAAAAAAAAA